GAUGAACGCUGGCGGCGUGCCUAAUACAUACAAGUCGAGCGAACAGAUGAGGAGCUUGCUCCUCUGACGUUAGCGGCGGACGGGUGAGUAACACGUGGAUAACCUACCUAUAAGACUGGGAUAACUUCGGGAAACCGGAGCUAAUACCGGAUAAUAUAUUGAACCGCAUGGUUCAAUAGUGAAAGACGGUUUUGCUGUCACUUAUAGAUGGAUCCGCGCCGCAUUAGCUAGUUGGUAAGGUAACGGCUUACCAAGGCGACGAUGCGUAGCCGACCUGAGAGGGUGAUCGGCCACACUGGAACUGAGACACGGUCCAGACUCCUACGGGAGGCAGCAGUAGGGAAUCUUCCGCAAUGGGCGAAAGCCUGACGGAGCAACGCCGCGUGAGUGAUGAAGGUCUUCGGAUCGUAAAACUCUGUUAUUAGGGAAGAACAAAUGUGUAAGUAACUAUGCACGUCUUGACGGUACCUAAUCAGAAAGCCACGGCUAACUACGUG
rnacentral:rRNA from 1 species